rnacentral:rRNA from 1 species
GACGUAGGGCGCGAGCGUUGUCCGGAUUUAUUGGGCGUAAAGAGCUCGUAGGCGGCUUGUUGCGUCGACCGUGAAAACCCGGGGCUCAACUUCGGGCUUGCGGUCGAUACGGGCGGGCUAGAGUUCGGUAGGGGAGACUGGAAUUCCUGGUGUAGCGGUGAAAUGCGCAGAUAUCAGGAGGAGCACCGGUGGCGAAGGCGGGUCUCUGGGCCGAUACCGACGCUGAGGAGCGAAAGCGUGGGGAGCGAACAGG